CGGCGCUGGCUGUCACCUGGCGCGGGGCUGCAGAUCCUACCAAAGCUAGACCUUCCCUCCCCAAGCUGCUGGACAGCCCUGGCUGGUCGAUAAAGAAUGAAGACUGUCUGUACCAUUUUGAUUACCUCUUCUAGGGUUCAAAGAGAGAAUCAUUUCCCCUGACCUUCAUUUGCUAAUGGCUCAGCUUGAUCUAACUGGUAUACAGAUAAACUUGCUGUUAAACAAAAAUUCCUGUAGGAAGAACCACCUCAAUGUCCAAAAUUCCUUUGCCCCUGCUGGUAUCGGUGGCUCUCAGUAACCAUCUAAAAGCCGAACUACGCAAAGUCACGAGAGCUGUUCACAAGAAGCUUGUAUAUGAAUGGACAAUGCUGCCAUCCUCUUGAGAGAUGAGACGAAGGACCCUUCACAAUGACAGCUCUGCAAGUUCCAAAUAUGAGAGUCGUGCAUACGGAGUGUCAUGCAUUGUCUCCAGAGUGAUCUUCGUUCUCGUUAAGCUAAUUUCACCUCUUGUCACAAGUUUUGGUUUUGGGAUUUAGACCAUCAUUAGCCACGGAACUCCUGUGUAAAUCACUUCUUUCUUUUUCCUUUUUUUUUUCCCUAUUUUGCACAAAGACUGUUAAUAGGACUGUUAGUGGAAUAAGUAAAGCCAAUAUUCACAGGGUUUAACUUUGUACCAAUAGCACCUUUUGCCCCAGAAUGCCUUACAAACACCAUACAGCACGCAUGUCCCAGUGUACAACUUGUCAUGAAAUUUCUGUUCACUUAGGCACCACCUUAGUUUCCCAAGCUGACUUUUAGGGACAUUUCAGCACAUAGCAUCUCAUACAAUAAGUCAGACGCCACCCAGAGGUGCCUUUCAGGUCUGAGAGCUUUCUCCGUGAAUGUAUUCAGAGCUAAAGAGACCAUGCGUGCAUCCUGCGGGUUGAUGCCGUCCACCUAACGGGAGCAUCCUGAAGUGACUGAGGGAAUGGCAGAAGGAGGGCACGCUGGGGCUCCUCCUGUCCGACUGUGGGUGCGACGCGUAGGUGUUUACUGCGAUGAGCACCGCAAAACGUGGCUUGUGGCUGCGGAAGAGGAGGAAGGUAUGCUGAGGGCUCGGAUCCAAAGAGUUCAGGUUCCCCUGGGUGAGGCGCUGCGACCCAGCCAGCUCCCCCCAUCCCGGCUGCCUCAUAUGUGGCAGCUGUCCCAGGGUGAGCAGUACAGGGAUAGUAACUCUCGCGUUUGGGAGAUAGAGCACCAUCUCAUGCUUGGUGGUGUUGAAGAACUGCUGCUUAAACUCGUGCCUGGUGAUUAAUCUGUUCUCUGAACAUGUCCCAGAAGGAUCCCUGCCAGAAACAAGCCUGUGAAAUACAGAAAUGCUUGCAAGUGAACAACUACAUGGAGUCUAAGUGUGAAACUGUGCUUCAGGAGAUGAGGAAGUGCUGCGCCCGGUACCCCAAGGGCAGAUCCAUCUGUUGUUCAGGGUUUGAGAAA